GAUCCUGGCUCAGAUUGAACGCUGGCGGCAUGCCUUACACAUGCAAGUCGAACGGCAGCACGGGAGCUUGCUCCUGGUGGCGAGUGGCGAACGGGUGAGUAAUACAUCGGAACGUACCCUGAAGGUGGGGGAUAACGUAGCGAAAGUUACGCUAAUACCGCAUAUUCUGUGAGCAGGAAAGAGGGGGAUCGCAAGACCUCUUGCUUUAGGAGCGGCCGAUGUCGGAUUAGCUAGUUGGUGAGGUAAAGGCUCACCAAGGCGACGAUCCGUAGCGGGUCUGAGAGGAUGAUCCGCCACACUGGGACUGAGACACGGCCCAGACUCCUACGGGAGGCAGCAGUGGGGAAUUUUGGACAAUGGGCGCAAGCCUGAUCCAGCCAUGCCGCGUGAGUGAAGAAGGCCUUCGGGUUGUAAAGCUCUUUCGGUGGGGAAGAAAUUGCACAGGAUAAUACCUUGUGUAGAUGACGGUACCCGCAUAAGAAGCACCGGCUAACUACGUG
rnacentral:rRNA from 1 species